GAAGUUAGACCCUUGAUCACCCAAGCUCCAAGCCGAGAAAACUUAGAAAUGAACAUACUCGGGCAACCUAUAUAACCUGUGGAACAAACUAAGGCAAUUAUGAGCUAGCAAAACUGAAAAAAAAAAAAACAAGUAAAUUGCCAAUUCUAGUGAAAAACUAAAAUAAUCCAACUUCUUGAAAUGUGUAAUUACUUACUCCCAACGUUAUAUGCAAAACUGGGCAGCCGAAGACUAACUUUUUUUUUCCUUUUCCUUAGCCUAGUUAGGCAUUUACACAAACAUUUGGCAGAUGAGAGAAUGUAACAGAAAAUACUACUCGAUUCAGAAAAACGAACAUGCAAACCCAGCCGGAAUCUAAAACAAAAACUACCCGCAAAGAAAAUAUACACUUCAAUGAAUACAACAUAUACUACCUCAAACAAUUCAAUCAUAU
rnacentral:lncRNA from 1 species